rnacentral:lncRNA from 1 species
UGGAGAUAUCCGAAGAUCCUACUGAGCGACUAGAAGUUCGACGCUUUAAUCGUUGCUGCGAGAGCAGUCGCUCGUCUACAUUUUUAAGUGCCAAUAUAUGUUAGCAUCAAAAACCGGGAAAGGAUUGCGCCUCGUUGAAGAAAACUUUGCAUGUUCGUUCCGUCGAAGUUCGUUGAUCUGAGAUUUGACCGUUAAUCGCACCGUGGCUAUAAAGAAGGAAGGAAGGUCGAUGCGGAGGGAAGGAGAAAGAAAGCACAUCACCAGUAAUAUACGUGGAACUGUUGGAAAGAAAUUGGAACGAAACGUGAAACGCUCUGCGUAUACGUACACGGAUAACGCGAGAGGAGAGCGAGACUCUCCAGCUGCGGCGCGAGACGAGACGAGAAGGAAAAGCAAAGAGAAAUUCCGCGAUGAGGAACGCGUUCUGUCG